UUUCCCAUUGACUUGCUGCUGGUGUCUGUCCGUGAUAUGAGCAGUUAUACGCAUGGGAUAUGGGAUAAAAAUAUGAGACCAUUGCAAAUUGAAACGAAAAUAAUCAUUUUCUCUCUUCUGCUUGGUCUGGACAUUG